rnacentral:rRNA from 1 species
UACGUAGGGUGCAAGCGUUGUCCGGAAUUAUUGGGCGUAAAGAGCUCGUAGGCGGUUUGUUGCGUCGGCUGUGAAAUCCCGAGGCUCAACCUCGGGUCUGCAGUCGAUACGAGCAAACUAGAGUGUUGCAGGGGAGACUGGAAUUCCUGGUGUAGCGGUGAAAUGCGCAGAUAUCAGGAGGAACACCGGGGGCGAAGGCGGGUCUCUGGGCAACAACUGACGCUGAGGAGCGAAAGCGUGGGGAGCGAACAGG